rnacentral:rRNA from 1 species
AUUGAACGCUGGCGGCACGCCUAACACAUGCAAGUCGAGCGGUAACAUGCUUAGUAGCAAUACUAAGUGAUGACGAGCGGCGGACGGGUGAGGAACACGUAGGAACCUGCCCAAAAGUGGGGGAUAACUAAGGGAAACUUUAGCUAAUACCGCAUAAUUCUCUGAGGAGAAAAGUUGCCCGUAAGGGUAGCGCUUUUGGAGGGGCCUGCGUCCGAUUAGUUAGUUGGUGAGGUAAUGGCUCACCAAGACUGUGAUCGGUAACUGGUCUGAGAGGACGACCAGUCACACUGGGACUGAGACACGGCCCAGACUCCUACGGGAGGCAGCAGUGGGGAAUCUUGGACAAUGGGGGCAACCCUGAUCCAGCGAUGCCGCGUGGGUGAAGAAGGCCUUCGGGUUGUAAAGCCCUUUAGGCUGGGAAGAAGAGUGUGGGAUGAAUAAUCCUGUACUUUGACGGUACCUCAGGAGAAAGUAUCGGCAAACCCUGUGCCAGCCGCCGCAGUAA